rnacentral:tRNA from 1 species
GAAAAAGCAUGCAAGAACUGCUAACUCUAUGCUCCCAUAUUUAACAAUAUGGCUUUUUCG